rnacentral:tRNA from 1 species
GGGGUUGUGGCGGAAUGGCAGACGCAGCAGACUCAAAAUCUGCCGACCUUAAAUCGUAUGGGUUCAAGUCCCAUCAGCCCCACCA